GAUGAACGCUGGCGGCGUGCCUAAUACAUGCAAGUAGAACGCUGAAGGAGGAGCUUGCUUCUCUGGAUGAGUUGCGAACGGGUGAGUAACGCGUAGGUAACCUGCCUGGUAGCGGGGGAUAACUAUUGGAAACGAUAGCUAAUACCGCAUAAUAGCAGUUGUUGCAUGAUAACUGUUUGAAAGGUGCAAUUGCACCACUACCAGAUGGACCUGCGUUGUAUUAGCUAGUUGGUGGGGUAACGGCUCACCAAGGCGACGAUACAUAGCCGACCUGAGAGGGUGAUCGGCCACACUGGGACUGAGACACGGCCCAGACUCCUACGGGAGGCAGCAGUAGGGAAUCUUCGGCAAUGGACGGAAGUCUGACCGAGCAACGCCGCGUGAGUGAAGAAGGUUUUCGGAUCGUAAAGCUCUGUUGUAAGAGAAGAACGAGUGUGAGAGUGGAAAGUUCACACUGUGACGGUAUCUUACCAGAAAGGGACGGCUAACUACGUG
rnacentral:rRNA from 1 species